rnacentral:rRNA from 1 species
ACGAACGCUGGCGGCGUGCUUAACACAUGCAAGUCGAACGGAAAGGCCCUGCUUUUGUGGGGUUCUCGAGUGGCGAACGGGGGAGUAACACGUGAGUAACCUGCCCUUGACUUUGGGAUAACUUCAGGAAACUGGGGCUAAUACCGGAUAGGAGCUCCUGCUGCAUGGUGGGGGGUGGAAAGUUUCGGCGGUUGGGGAUGGACUCGCGGCUUAUCAGCUUGCUGGUGGGGUAGUGGCUUACCAAGGCUUUGACGGGUAGCCGGCCUGAGAGGGUGACCGGCCACAUUGGGACUGAGAUACGGCCCAGACUCCUACGGGAGGCAGAAGUGGGGAAUAUUGCACAAUGGGCGGAAGCCUGAUGCAGCAACGCCGCGUGCGGGAUGACGGCCUUCGGGUUGUAACCCGCUUUCGCCUGUGACGAAGCGUGAGUGACGGUAAUGGGUAAAGAAGCACCGGCUAACUACGUG